rnacentral:lncRNA from 1 species
GAAGACUAUGAAACUAUUAUACAUAUUUGAAGUAUAGUUAUAGGUUAUGUUAGUUACUUUUAAUAAAUUUAAUGAUUAGUUUGACUGUUGACUAGGCAUAUACAAUUAAGUAGAAACGACACAAAACACUGAGUGAAUAAUUCUAAAAAGGCUUAGGAGGCUCUUUUCACUGUCCAUGAAAUCAUCUUGUGGCCUCUUGAAUCAGCUAUGCACAAGGCACCAACAUAUCUACGUCGCACCAUAAAGAUUCCACAGUCUUCCAUUCCCACAGGUGGCCUCAAACCUGGGCUCCCAGAUUUUUUCAUCUACUUCUAUGGUUCUCUAAUAGCAACAUUUUUCAACUAUUAAUUUACUUUUAUUCAAAAUGAUCCAACAGACACCCCCCAAGAUUUAAUAUUUACGUUCAUAUAUAUAUAUUUGGAGACAGAGUCUUGCUCUGUCACCCAGGCUGGAAGUCCAGUGGUAUAAUCUCGGC